UACGUAGGGGGCAAGCGUUGUCCGGAAUCAUUGGGCGUAAAGCGCGUGUAGGCGGCUCGGUAAGUCUGCUGUGAAAGUCCAGGGCUCAACCCUGGGAUGCCGGUGGAUACUGUCGAGCUCGAGUCCGGAAGAGGCGAGUGGAAUUCCUGGUGUAGCGGUGAAAUGCGCAGAUAUCAGGAGGAACACCAAUGGCGAAGGCAGCUCGCUGGGACGUUACUGACGCUGAGACGCGAAAGCGUGGGGAGCAAACAGG
rnacentral:rRNA from 1 species